ACGGAAGGCAGCAGUGGGGAGUAUUGCACAAUGGGAGCAAGCCUGAUGCAGCGAUGCCGCGUGAGGGAAGAAGGUUUUCGGAUUGUAAACCUCUGUCAUCGGGGACGAUAAUGACUGUACCCGAGAAGGAAGCUCCGGCUAACUACGUGCCAGCAGCCGCGGUAAUACGUAGGGAGCGAGCGUUGUCCGGAAUUACUGGGUGUAAAGGGAGUGUAGGCGGGACUGUAGGUCAGAUGUGAAAUAUGCCGGCUCAACUGGCAGACUGCAUUUGAAACUGCGGUUCUUGAGUGAAGUAGAGGUAAGCGGAAUUCCUAGUGUAGCGGUGAAAUGCGUAGAUAUUAGGAGGAACAUCAGUGGCGAAGGCGGCUUACUGGGCUUUAACUGACGCUGAGGCUCGAAAGCGUGGGGAGCAGACAGGAUUAGAUACCCUGGUA
rnacentral:rRNA from 1 species